GAUGAACGCUGGCGGCGUGCCUAAUACAUGCAAGUCGAACGAGGUGCUUGAGUAGCAAUACGAGAGUAUCCUAGUGGCGAACGGGUGAGUAACGCGUGGAUGACCUGCCCCAAAGUGUGGGAUAACAGUCCGAAAGGAUUGCUAAUACCUCAUGUGGUUAUCGGUUUUAGAAAGCGAUAACUAAAGCAGCAAUGCGCUUUGGGAGGGAUCUGCGUCCCAUCAGCUAGUUGGUGAGGUAACGGCUCACCAAGGCGACGACGGGUAGGGGACCUGAGAGGGUGGCCCCCCACAAUGGAACUGAAACACGGUCCAUACACCUACGGGUGGCAGCAGUAGGGAAUAUUGCUCAAUGGGCGAAAGCCUGAAGCAGCAACGCCGCGUGUGCGAUGAAGGCCUUCGGGUCGUAAGCACUUUCUAAGAGAUGAGAAAGGACAGUAUCUCAGGAAUAAGUACUCGGACUAACUACGUGCCAGCAGCCGCGGUA
rnacentral:rRNA from 1 species